rnacentral:rRNA from 1 species
GACGAACGCUGGCGGCGUGCUUAACACAUGCAAGUCGAACGGGCCCGCUCUCUUUUUUGGGGGUGGGUUGAGUGGCGAACGGGUGAGUAUCACGUGAGUAACCUGCCCCCUGCUCCUGGAUAACUGCUUGAAAGGGCGGCUAAUACGGGGUGUGCCGGCUGGUCCGCAUGGGCCUGGUCGGGAUAGUUUCAUCUUCGGGUGUUUCGGUGGGGGAUGGGCUCGCGGCCUAUCAGCUUGUUGGUGGGGUGAUGGCCCACCAAGGCGGUGACGGGUAGCCGGCCUGAGAGGGUGGGCGGCCACACUGGGACUGAGACACGGCCCAGACGCCUGCGGGAGGCAGCAGUGGGGGGUAUUGCACAAUGGGCGGAAGCCUGAUGCAGCGACGUCGCGUGAGGGAUGGAGGCCUUCGGGUUGUGAACCUCUUUCUCCGGUGGUGAAGGCCCUGUCCGUUGCGGCGGGGUUGACGGUAGCCGGGUAUGAAGCGCCGGCUAACUACGU